CUGGCAAGAAAUAUAGCUCUCUCCCCAACCACCAUCAUCUCUUUGUGAUUUGAGUAGAAACUCAACAGCUCUACCAAUAGCAAGACAGUUGUGGUAAGUCCUGCCAGCAGCUGUUAGGCCCCCAAGUGCAAACCAUGAGCCAUAGGUGAAACAUACUCCCCAAAUGCCUCUUUGUUUAAAUGGAUUUGCACUGCAUAUAUAAAAAAAGAUUUCCCCAGUGAAAUAGUAAUAGUGGAGUUGAGAAACAUACCAUGAGCCAUCAGGCAUUUGUUGGUCUUCAAUGUACUUGGUAGCAUUUGUGAUGAAAUUGUCUAUCUCCUUCGUCCUGUGUCGGGGGUAUAACUUCUUAAACAAAACCAGAGCCUGAAUUGCUGAUGCAGUGCACUCAACAUACCUGGAUCAUCGUUUUGUUAGUCUCCAAGGAAGUUAAAGCUAGUAGAGUUAGAAAAAAAAGCUGAUCUAUUAUCAAGAAUUUUACUCAUGCUCGAUGACAAUGUCUUCAAACAUUUCAGAGGGGUUGAGCAGCUGAAAAGAGAAGGGAUUGACAUUGAUUUAGAUUCAAAGAAUACAGAGAGAGAGAGAGAGAGAGAGAGAGAGAGAGAGAGAGAGAGAGAUAAAACGGAAACAUUAAAGUUACUUAAACAAGUUGAAGUAAUGUACCUCCAACCAUUCUGAAGCUCCUGCAGGCUCCCAGAUUGCUAAACCACCAUUUUUACUCUGCAGUGGUUUUGAAAACAAGGGUUAUUGAUACUAAGAAGUUAUAACCUGUUUUGUGAUGGGGACAACCAUGGAAUGGCCCAAGGAAGAUGAUUCUCACCUGUAGGGAAAGCAGGAUGUUGACAGAAUCAAAUAGUCGUUCGGGUUCCAUCUUCAUACCAACAAUUUCUGGUGCCAUCAUUGAAAAGAGAAGACAACACUGUAACAGAGGGGACUUCAGUGAGAAACCAAGUGACUUUAGUUAAUCUGCAAGCCCUGACUCAAUUAAGUGUUUGAACAGAAAAAGUUACCUUCAAACCUUCUGCAGUGCAAUCAGAAACUUGCCAACCAUGAUCCUGAUCUGAGAAUGUCCACGAACCUUUGGAAAUGUGGCGAUACAUGCUUUUAAAGUCACCAGAAGGAUUGUCCUUGACCUUCAAGAUUUCAAGCAGUAUGAAGUAAAUAGACCAUGAGAAACCCAAGUAGAUUCUGGUUAAAGUCAAGACACAAACAAUGGAAUUCAAGAUCAAACCUGAGAUUCCUUUAUGAAUUCAUGUCCUUUCUUGAGUGUAGGUCCAAUUUCAUCGGUCAUAUUGCAAGCUAGCGGUGCUUGAAGGGCAAAACCAGUGUCCCACUCUUGACUACCAAAGGUCUACAGCAAUCGACAAUUUCAAAACCAAUUAGGCAGGAGAGGAUAAAAGCAUAGCUUCAAACCAGUUGCACACUUGAAAUAUUUUAAGAAAAAGAUGAAAAGAUCAAAGCUCCAAGCCCAUUUAUGAGGUUAAGAUGAUGACUAGGUUCAAAAUAUAUAUACCUGAUGACAGUAUAGGUAGCGAAGAAUUUCUUUACGAUAUUCUCCAGGGAAUACAGUGUCAAGAUGCCCUGUAAUGUAUAGACACAUGACCUGAAUUUUCCAUGAAAUUAUUCCAUUGAGAAUGGUUGUUAAAAUGGUCCAUAUACAUGAUUUUAAGGAGGGUGAGAGGGUGUUGAGUAGACUCACCAGAGGAGGAAGGAAAUACAAUGGGCCAGCAUUUUCAGCAGGCCAAUGGCCAUCACUAGCCUGCAAAGCUGAAAAGAAAUGUGCACCCCUUCUCACUGCUGCUGUGAUUGUCUCAUAUGUAAUUUCUUCACCAUCCCCAACCUUAACUUGUGGUAUUGUUUGUUUGAAAUUUUUCUCUCUCAAAAACUGCAGUUUUUUUUGGCCAAAUGAAAUGGGAGUUAAUGAAGUGAAAGUUUAAAAGAAAAGGUAAAUUAACCUCAAUAGUAAGCAUCUAUUUAUACAAUUGUUCCAAGUUAAGAGAAUUAUUACAAUUUUUAAAGUGCAUAAUAUAUAUUUUGGGUUCAAAUCCUACAAACUUAAUCUUUUAGGAAAUUACUUGUUUAACAUGGUAUCAAAGCUCGGUUUUGGAAUCGGUCUUACCUCUCAUUAUCCGACAAUUUGCUUGAUGGUGUCUCAACCAGUUUAAAAGAAAAGAAAAGAAAAGGUAAAUUAACCUCAAUUGUAAGUAUCUACUUAUACAAUUGUUCCAAGCUAAGAGAAUCAAGAUAGAGUUAGCAAUUGUUAAACUGCAUAAUAUAUAUUUUGGGUUCAAAUCCUACAAACUUAACUUUUUAAGAAAUUAGUUGUUCAACAUGGUAUCAAUGCUCAGUUUCGGAAUUGGUCUCACCUCUCAUUAUCCGACAAUCUGGUGGUAUCUUAACCUAAGGCCUGGUGUAUGAGGGGAAUAUUGUUAGGUUUUCCCAUAUCUCUUAUAGAAGGAAUUGGGUGACUCUUUAUCAGUGUGCAUGAAAAUCUCAGCCUUCAAGCUAAUUUUUGGGGUGAUAAGGCCCAAAAUCACCCAAUAUAUUUUUUCUUUUUUACUUUAUGAUAUCAUAACCUCAUUUGGGAGUUUUGGGUCAAAAUGGCUCAUUUUUUAAACUUAAUGUUAAAAAUGGGCACAUUUUCAAACUAUUGUUCAAAAUGGCCUCUUUGAUGCCACGUAGGCGUCACAUCAUUAAAAAAUAUUUUUUUUUCGUCAUUAUAGUGAAAGCCGCAGUUGGGAAACGCAGCUUCAUUUUUGUACUAAAGCCGCAGUUGGGAAACGCGGCUUCAUUUUUGCACUAAAGUCGCAAUUGGGAAACGCGAUUUCAUUUUUGUACUAAAGCCGCAGUUGGCAAAUGCGGCUUCAUUUUUACACUAAAGCCGCAGUUGAGAAACGCGGCUUCAUUUUUUAACUAAAGCCGCGGUUGGCAACUGCGGCUUUAGUUAAUUUUUAUUUAAAUUUAAAAUUUAAUUAAAAAAUUAUUAAAUUACAAUUUAUGAAUGAAAUUUAAAAAUAUACUUAAAUAAUAAAUUAUUUAUAUUUAAAUUUAAAAUUCUAGUAUUACUUCAACAAACAUAAAUUGGUAAAUAGAAGAUAUUAUAAAUGAAUGUUUUAUUUAUUAAUAAAUUAAUAAUCUUAAAAUAAUAAAUUUAUAUAACAUAUAAAUAAUAUAUAAAAUUGUAUAAUUUAUUAAUUUAAGAUAUUUAAUUUGUUAAAUUUUAAGAUAUUAAUUUAUUUAUAUUAUGAUAAAUUUAUCUUUAUCGAAAUAAUAAUAUAGUAGUUAAUAACUGAGAUUUCAAUUAUAAUAUUUUUUUUUACUUUCCAAUUUAAUUAAAAACUAUUAAAUCACAAUUUAUGAUUGAAAUUUAAAAAAUAUACUUAAAUAAAAAAUUAUUUAUAUUUAAACUUAAAAAUCUAGUAUUACUUCAACAAACAUAAAUUAAUAAAUAAAAGAUAUUAUAAAUGAAUGUUUUAUUUAUUAAUAAAUUAAUAAUCUUAAAAUAAUAAAUUUAUAUAACAUAUAAAUAAUAUAUAAAAUUGUAUAAUUUAUUAAUUUAAGAUAUUUAAUUUGUUAAUUUUUAAGAUAUUAAUUUAUUUUUAUUAUGACAAAUUUAUCUUUAACAAAAUAAUAACAUACUCUUAAGCCGUAGUUGUCAUAUAUAGAUUUUUUUACAAAAUUAGUUAAUGAAAUUAAUUACAAAAAGUCUACUACAAAAUGUAAUUUUUAAUAGUUUAAUUAAAGUCACAAAAAAUAUCUACUAAACAUUAAUAUAGUGGAAAAUAAAAAACAUAUAUAAUCUCACAUGCCUCCACAAGAAGAGAACCUAUGUGUAACUGGUACUCUCUUCCUUUGGACAAGAACGCCGAUUGUGACCCUAUUGCUUGCAAAGUCCACAUGUUUGUGGAGUCCUAGUUUCCCUUGCAUCCAUCUCAUUAUGCAAACGACUUGAUUUUGGUCGACCAGAAGUUAGCCAUUUCAUUGAGUCUGAAGGCACAAUUAUCGGUCCAUUAUAUUGAGGCCACUCCAACUCAUCAAAUAUGGGAUAAAACAAGGGAGCCCAUGUUGAUAGGUAAGCACGUGUGGUGUAAUAACCUUGUACAAAUUGUCGAAAAUCAAUUGCUCGACAAUGACAAGCAGCAAGAAUGUGCGAACAUGGGAAUCAUAACAAAAGUGUUUUGUUACAUGUGCAAGACCCCAUUUGAAGGGUAACAUGAUAUAUGCGAGGUUUCCUAUUACUGCUUCCAACAGAGUGUCUAGUUUUAACAUGAAAACGUCCCGCCACAUGAUCAUACAAAAAAACCUCAUGUGCACCCACCUUAACAACUUUAGCCUUUAUCUUGGCGUCAAUAUGUGGAGUGAAUUCUUCACCUGAAGCGAGCCGACUAGCACCAUGCUCCCGCCUGACUGUGAAGUAACUGUUAACCCGAUAGAAAGUUAACUGGACUAAAGCUAUUAUUGGUAAGUUACGAGCACCCUUAAGGACACCAUUAAAAACUUCAGACAUAUUAGUUGUCAUAAUCCCAUAUUUUCGCCCACCAUCAUAUGAGAGUGCCCAUUUUUCAAGAGGAAUUUGCUCCAACCAAUUUCUAGCCUCGGCAUUUAUCCGGCCAAUUGUAUCCAUGUGAGAAAUAAAUUUUAUCAUGUGUGAUUAUAUAUAGGUUCUUGUCCAAACAGGAAGAGAGUACCAGUUACACAUAGGUUCUCUCCUUGUGGAGGCAUGUGAGAUUAUAUAUGUUUUUUAUUUUCCACUAUAUUAAUGUUUAGUAGAUAUUUUUUGUGACUUUAAUUAAACUAUUAAAAAUUACAUUUUGUAGUAGACUUUUUGUAAUUAAUUUCAUUAACUAAUUUUGUAAAAAAAAAUCUAUAUAUGACAACUACGGCUUAAGAGUAUGUUAUUAUUUUGUUAAAGAUAAAUUUGUCAUAAUACAAAUAAAUUAAUAUCUUAAAAAUUAACAAAUUAAAUAUCUUAAAUUAAUAAAUUAUACAAUUUUAUAUAUUAUUUAUAUGUUAUAUAAAUUUAUUAUUUUAAGAUUAUUAAUUUAUUAAUAAAUAAAACAUUCAUUUAUAAUAUCUUCUAUUUAUUAAUUUAUGUUUGUUGAAAUAAUACUAGAUUUUUAAGUUUAAAUAUAAAUAAUUUUUUAUUUAAGUAUAUUUUUUAAAUUUCAAUCAUAAAUUGUGAUUUAAUAGUUUUUAAUUAAAUUGGAAAGUAAAAAAAAAAUAUUAUAAUUGAAAUCUCAAUUAUUAACUACUAUACUAUUAUUUCGAUAAAGAUAAAUUUAUCAUAAUAUAAAUAAAUUAAUAUCUUAAAAAUUAACAAAUUAAAUAUCUUAAAUUAAUAAAUUAUACAAUUUUAUAUAUUAUUUAUAUGUUAUAUAAGUUUAUUAUUUUAAGAUUAUUAAUUUAUUAAUAAAUCAAAUAUUCAUUUAUAAUAUCUUCUAUUUAUCAAUUUAUGUUUGUUGAAAUAAUACUAGAUUUUUAAGUUUAAAUAUAAAUAAUUUUUUAUUUAAGUAUAUUUUUAAAAUUUAAUCAUAAAUUGUAAUUUAAUAGUUUUUAAUUAAAUUUGAAAGUAAAAAAAAUAUUAUAAUUGAAAUCUCAGUUAUUAACUACUAUACUAUUAUUUCGAUAAAGAUAAAUUUAUCAUAAUAUAAAUAAAUUAAUAUCUUAAAAAUUAACAAAUUAAAUAUCUUAAAUUAAUAAAUUAUACAAUUUUAUAUAUUAUUUAUAUGUUAUAUAAAUUUAUUAUUUUAAGAUUAUUAAUUUAUUAAUAAAUAAAACAUUCAUUUAUAAUAUCUUCUAUUUAUCAAUUUAUGUUUGUUGAAGUAAUACUAGAAUUUUAAAUUUAAAUAUAAAUAAUUUAUUAUUUAAGUAUAUUUUUAAAUAUCAUUCAUAAAUUGUAAUUUAAUAAUUUUUUAAUUAAAUUUUAAAUUUAAAUAAAAAUUAACUAAAGCCGCAGUUGCCAACCGCGGCUUUAGUUAAAAAAUGAAGCCGCGUUUGGCAACUGCGGCUUUAGUACAAAAAUGAAGCCGCAUUUGCCAACUGCGGCUUUAGUGCAAAAAUGAAGCCGCAUUUGCCAACUGCGGCUUUAGUAUAAAAAUGAAGCCGCGUUUUCCAACUGCGGCUUUAGUGCAAAAAUGAAGCCGCGUUUCCCAACUGCGGUUUUAGUACAAAAAUAAAGUCACGUUUCCCAAUUGCGGCUUUCACUAUAAUGACGAAAAAAUAUAUUUUUUAAUGAUGUGGCGCCUACGUGGCAUCAAAGAGGCCAUUUUGAACAUUAGUUUGAAAAUGUGCCCAUUUUCAACAUUAAGUUUCAAAAAUGGGCCAUUUUGACCCAAAACUCCUCAUUUGGUGGGAGGUGAAGGUCAUAUGGUGGCCCACUAUGGUCACUUUGUUUGAAGUCAAGUGGUUUCAAUACAUGUUUCUUUUCCCAAUUUAUCAAGUUCGCAUGCAAGCCUGAAAAUAGAAGCUGCACAUGUAAGAGGGAGAGAGAGUGAGAGAUUAUGGUUGUUUGGUGGUGAAAACAUGAUUCUAAAGAGGACCCCAUAUCUUGCGAUUUUUUGGGUUCCUUUUUUCAUAGAAAUCAUCACCCAUAAUCAAAUAAAUGGAAACAAAACAAGAAAAGCUAUGUAGCUAGACUACGUAAAACAACAAGUAUGUAUGCAUGGAAGACACAUAUAGUCAGUGAAAAACUGCAAUCUAGGACGCAGAUGACAGAUCAAUAUCUGUUGUGAUAUCAAGACUUGAGAUAGAUGGGAUCAAAUCACCUGCAUCCGCCAAAGGAGGUCGCUGCUGGGCUUAACCUGAAACCGGUUUUUCCAGAAAUUUUCACGAGCUGCUUCGACCUCAGCUCGCUCUUCUGGGGUCCCACAGUCAGAAUCAAACUCCCAUAUCUGUCUUCCCACGAAGUUGUUGGUGCUGUAGAUGUAGGGAUCAUUGCCUCCAUCUGCAACCUUGAGCCUCCACAUUUUCUAACUCACCAAACAGACGAGAUAUAUCUCUAUAUAUAUCUAAGUUUACAAAUAAGUGUCUCCCUUCCGAAAACACCUGCUGAUCAUGAAAUCACCAGAAAGGUAAGACAAGCUUUUCUUUGCAGUAAAAUUAAGUUAAAAUGAUACAGACCAAGGAUAGAGAGAUAGAUGCUGGGUGGGCAGAGAAGAGAGAGACUUCAGAAACUUGGAAUGGCGAGUUCCAGGUGGGAAUCACUCAUUCAUAUAGAAGCAGAACACCAAGUCAGUCACCAACCCCCAUCACUUCUAUUAAUUCUUUUUUCACCCACUUCAAGUAUUUAAUGCAAAUUUUCACCAACCCCCACCAAGUUUGUGGAAUUUUUUGACUUUCAAGUAUUUUUUAAUUGAUGUGUUUUUUAAAAGGGUUAAACCAUUAAAGAACUCAAUGCAUGGAGUCCAGGGACAGUCCCUGAUAGAUAUCAGUCAUUCAAUCCUAAAAUUAAUAUACUUUAAAACAUACAUGAAGAAAUGACACAUCAAUUAGGUAUAUAGCAUUCAAAUUGUAUCAACUAAUAUGUCCAAUUAAAGUCUCAAUCAAAUUGUUGCCAUCAGUUAUAAUUAUGGUUCUUGUGGUUGUUAUUAGGAGAAAUGGCCACCAGUAUUUGAACAUAGAGUAGAUGUGAAUCAUGUGAUAGCCUACUUACAUAACUCCACACCCAACCAAAUCAACAACUCACUAUUUAAGACAAAUAUAACAAUGUGUAAGGCUAUUCCAAUGGUUCUUCCCUCUACUAGAUUAUUCAUCCAAGAACGUAAUGGCUAGUUUAUUUUCAUAGAAUCAUUCAUAAAGUAGGAAAAAUUUUAUUCUUUCCAUUUGUAUCAGCAUAAUCGAUUGAUUAGCUAAACUAAGGCCAAAUUAGUUGACUUGCUUUUCCCUUUCUACCCAUAGUUUUAUAUAUUUUCUAAAAAUCAAUGCUAAUCUAAUGAGGGCCUACUAUAGUUUCAUUUUCUUGUAUAAAAUAUUCUUCAAACUUCUUAUGUUAUUAGAAUUCUACCUCACAAUUCAAUCUUUUCACCAAUGUGCAAACUUGGUAUUUGUGAAAUUUCAAAUUUUCAAUCUUUUCACAAUUUCAAAUUUCUACCAAGUAUCUUCUUUGGAGAUCUUAAUAUUUGCCUUUAAUCAAGAGUCUUUAUCCUGAAAAUCACCUUACAAAUGUUGGUAAGAAGGAAGUGAAUCCAAGCUACACAAUCUGGGUGAACAAUGAUGGCCUCCCGUCUUAACUUAUAGGGUUGAUAAAAAAAAGAUGAAGUAUUACCAUUGGAGGACAAUCUAGUUGAUAGAUCUGGAUUUUUUAUUGAAGAACAACAAACACAUCAAUACCAAUUCCUCCUCCUAUCAUUCUUGACACAUAGCCUACAGUUACUAUCACUACACUUCCAAUCAUAGAAUCACCUUUUCCUUUCCACGAAAUCCAUUCCAACCACCUUUACACCUGAUCCUUCCUCUCCACCAUACACUCCACACUAGAUUUAACGAACCAAUUACUUACCAAUCUUCCAACUGCCCCAACUUCUCUAUGAACACAACCUAUGCCUGACAAUCCCUCUCCUUCACCAGAACAACCCACACAACUUCCCACUAGCAUUAACACUCAUGGCUUGUCACCUAUGCAAAAUUGAGACAAAAACGUUAUUUGGCUCUCCAUGCUAGUCAUUCUACUCGUAUUGAACCUAGAACUCUUAAAUCAAAACUUAAACAACCUCAUUAGGUGGUUCAUAUGGAGGAAGAAAUAAACAACUAGAGGUUGAAAAUGUCUUCUUAAUUGACUAUCUUAAGGAAAUGAUUUACAAGGAGUAACCUCCAGGGUUUGUUAACCCUAAUUUUCCUUCACACGUUUGUCUUCUUAAAUGUUCCCUAAAUGGCAUGAAGCAAGCCUCUUAAGUUUGGUUUAAGUGUUUAUCACAAGCUCUUAUUCAACUUGGUUUCUUUGAUACCAAGAAUGACUCAUCAUUAUUUAUUUUGCAUACAAGUUCUCUAAUUGUUUUAAUCUUAUUUUAUGCAAAUGAUGUUAUUGUAAGAAGUAGCAACCCUUGCUAUAAUUCAAUAUAUUAUUACUACUUUCAACUCUAGAUUUGCUUUAAAGACCUUGGCUACCUAAAAUAUUUCUUGGAAAUUGAAGUUAAAUAUUUUCAAGGUGGUUUUUUAUGGACCUACAUUUUUCACAUACGUUCCUACUCGAUAGCGAGACUCGUUUUUUAAUGAAAAAUUGAUUUUGAAAAAGUUAGAGUCACCAUUUAUUUUUGUUUAUUUUUUAAAGGGAAAAAAAUAAAAAAUAAAAUCUAAAAAUGACUUUUUAUUUGGAAAAGUAUGUCUUUCAAAACUAGGUCCAAAUCCAGGAUUCAUGUUAUCUAUCGAGAAGGUACCAUAAGGUAGCACUCUUCUAAGCCCUAAAUAAAGGUCUCUACUAAUUAAAUUGAGGUAACUAUGACAAUUGAUUUGUAAAUCAAUGGAUGCUAAGAAUCAUGAGAUAUAUAUCAUAGUAAUAAUGAAAACAUAAUUAAAAAUCACUCAAACAAGCCAUGCACACUCAAAGAGUCACAUCAACAAGGAAAGGAAGGAGCGUACCUUAUAGCAUGCUAAGCAUUCUUAUAAAAUAACAUAAUGUUAACAAAUAAACCAUAUCAAGGAAGCAUUCAAAACAAUACAUGCAUACUCAAAGAAUCAAACAACAGAAAAAGAGAGGAGAUAUACCUUGAUAGCUAGCAAAGCACUUUCAUAAAAUCAUUUAGGGGUAGUUCAUAAGUAAUAAUAAUAGCAGAUAUAAAAUCAUAGGUAAGACCUCACAAUAGAUACAACAUAUGCAUAUCUCAAAUCAUGAAAUAAAGAGAUGAUAAGGUAUGAACAAGAUGAAACAAAAUACAAUACACAUGCUUAAAAUUUCAGAAUUAGCUAACAAGUAUUCACUCACAAAAAUUAGUCUAAAUAAAAUAUCAAAUAAAGAAUCCCAAUCCAAAGAAAGGUUCAACUAAUGUGUAUAAUAUGUCUACAAUGUAAAUCAAUAAUCAAAAGCAUGCAUAAAGGGGAUCGAAUUAUAAAAAACCUACAGACUAUCAUCAAUAGGGCAGAACAAGGGUAUUUACAAAAUAAAUCUUAAAUAAAUACCUAAAAUUCUUAUUUUAUCAAAAUAAAAAAUGGAGAACAUCUUCAAUAUGUCUAAAUCAAAAUAAAAAAAAUUCCAAAUUAUUUAAUUAUAUGCUAUUCAAUACCAAAUUAAAUCAAACUAAGGACACUACACAGAACAUUCAACAUAUGAUUAAAACAAAGAUGUUCAUGAAAUGGAUUCUAAAAAAAUAUCUAGAAAUAGAAUUUCAUCACAAAAAAGGGACAAUAUCUCCUAUGUCUAUAUAAUAACCCAAAAGAUCACAUUAUUUAAUUAUGUUCCAUUCAAUACCAUAUUUCAUCACAAUUCAUAUUGGUAAAAAACAAGACAAAUUACAAAGCAUACAAGAAUUAAUUUAUUUGGUGAAUUUAGAAGUAUGUUAAAAUCACAUAAAAAGUUAUACAAUUUCUUCUAUAUGAUUUCAUUACAUGAAAAAUAAUAGCGAGAUUAAAUCAUACAAGAACUUAUUGAAAUUCAACCAAAAAAAACCUUAACUAUAGAAUAGAGCCGAUGUAGUGGGUGUAGAAAUGAAAAUUUAUUUCUCCUACUUGGGAGGUAAUUUUUGAGUGUCAUAGGGGUCUAAAUUAUAAUUUAUGAAGUUUAGAUUAAGGAAAAAACAUCAAAAUAAAUUAAUUUUAAAAAACUAUUUUGGGUAUCUAGAAUAGUGCUGAAAUUAGACCUAAUGAAAGACUAAUUUAAAUGCCUUACUUAGAGAAGCGUUUCAAGCUCAAAAAUAAAAUAAAAUAAUUUCACAUAGUUAAGAAUUCUAAAACAAUAACCAAGCAUUGAAAAAAAUUUAAAAGGUCUCUAAGUGGUCGGAUUCUAAUUUACAACUUCAAAGGUGCAGUGGACUAACAACAAUGGCAAUAUAGAACUGAUUUUUGGAAAACUUUGAAUUAAGGGAUUCACUAGGUCCCUUUUAAAUUUUUAUGAAUUUAUCUAUGCUUCAUUAACCUCAUGUGAGCAUGAACAAGCUCACUAAGGCUAGGAAUGACUCCAUUGAUUGGAGCUAUAAAUUUAAUUCAUGUAUGAGAAAAAUCGAAAAUAAAUGAAACCUUUUCAAAUAUGCAUAUCAAAUUAAAUGAACAAGGUAGCAAUUUUUAUUUUUUUAUUAUUUUUAAAUAGUCUUCUUUUCACCUAAUUGAUCUAAUAUGGAUUUGAAUAGUGAACUUUCAUGAUUCACUUUGUUUUAGAAACAAUUAAAAAUACUUUCAAAAUCAUUAAAACACAUAAAAUCAUAAAUCACUAAAAAGGCACCUAAAGAUCAUUGUGUGUGUAUAAAAAAUUGAGUGUUCAAAGUGAAGUGAAUUGCGUAUUUUGUGCAUCUUAAAAAUGACUAAAAAAAUGACCUGAAAGUGUGCCAAAACUAAGCCUCUAAAGUGACAUAAAAAAGCAUAUAAAAUUGACUUAAAAGUGAAAUGAACAAGUGAUACGGAAAAUAGAGAUACAUGGUGAACUCAACUAAUGACCUAUAUGUGUGAUUAGUGAUGAAAGAUUAUAAGGAUCAACUAACCUAAAAAUAAAAAUUAAGAGACAUGAAUCAAUACAAAAACACUAACAUUCAAAACCUAUUUUCAUGAUUUUUCAAUCGCUUAUUUUUGGAAAAACAAAUUUAAAAGAAAAGAAACCUAAUCUUAAUUCUAAAAUUAACUAACAAACAUUUCACAUUCAAGCAACAUAUCAUCAAUUAAUCCAACACUCAUGUGUGUCCUAUUCCUCCACACCCAACCUAAUCUAAUAUAUCCAAAAUCAUGAAAAUGAGAAGAAAUAGGAAAAAAAAAAAAAAGAAAUCAAAACUAAAAUCAAAAUUCAGCAACUUACCUCAAAUUAACUUUCUCUUCAAAAUUCGGUGGGGUCCUUUUUACUUUUCACAAAUCUAAUCUAUGCAUCUGUGUGUUCUCAAUGGCCGAUGCAUGCCUUCUUCUCCAAUAUUCCUCUACUGCAUCUCUUAAGGAUCAAAUUCUUCUCCAAUAUUCCUCUACUGCAUCUCCUAAGGAUCAACGUUGCUGCAUGUUUUCUCUCUCCUUUACCAAAUGCUGCUACAUUUCAUGCUUGCAUCUUCACUUUAAAAAUUAUGUUGUAACUUUCAAUUAAAGGCAUGCACUAAUAGCUCCACAAUCAACCCACUCUAAUCAUCAAUUGUGUACAACCAACUCAAGAAAAACAUGAAUAGUGUUUUUUUCUCACAAAUUUCAUUUAAAAAAAUUAUUCCUUAUCUAGAAACUUCCCUCAAAUUAUGCCAUGCCAAUUUGUGGACCUGCAUUUUUCACGUGUGUCCCUACUGGACGGCGAGACUCACUUUUGAUUUGUGAAAAACUACAUUUUCAUUAAAAUUUGGACUCACCGCUUACUUUUAUUUAUUUUUUAAAGGGGAAAUCAAGUAAGAACAAAAUGUCUGAAAUGACUCCUAAAUUUUGGAAAAGCUAUCUACGAAAAACUUGAGUCUAGGUUCAGGGAUCAAGUAAUCCAUUGGGAAGGUACCUCCAAAGAGAUAACACCCCUCUAAGCCCUAAAGAGGCCUCUACUAGUUAAGUUGAGGGAAGCAUGUCAAUUAGUCAGUUGAUUGAAGAUGCCUAAGUAGGUUAAGGUAAUUUCAAAACUUUGAUAAUUCUAAAGUGUCAAACAAGGAUUCAAAUCAUAAUCAUAAAAAGAGGAUAAUAUGUGUAUUUGGAUCAGUAACUUAAAUGCCAUCACAAAACACCAAAGUAAGUUAAGGUAUUAUAUCACUCAACAUGCAUUUUAUCAAAGGAAAUCAAAUGAAUAUCAAGGCACCCGAAGUCAAUUUCAAACAUGGAUAUAGUUUCCAAUGACAUACAUAUUCAUGGAACUUUGAAAUGGGAAGAUAAAGAGCAUACCUAAGUGCCAAGCAUUUGUGCUUUUAUAAAAAUGGGGUUAACUCAAAAAUAAUAAUAAUGAGAUUAAAGAAUAAUAAAAAUAAAUAAAUCUAUAUAGAUAUAUAUAUAUAUACUUAGCAUGUCUCAAAUCAAGGAAAAUUCAUAAGCAUAUUCAAAAGUGACCAAAUUAUCAAAAGGAAAGGAAAUAUCAUUAAAAGGGUAAAAUAUUGGUUCACAAAAUAAACUCCAAAUAAAUAUCAAGAAAGGUUAUCUCACCAAAAUAAAAAUUAGGCAACAUCUUUAACAUGUCCAAAUUAACAUCUGAUAGGCCAAAUUAAUCAAUUAUAUUUCAAUUAAUAACAAAUUGAUUCAUAAAUGGGUUACUUCACAGAAAAAAGUCAUCAAAUGAUCAAAAUAGAAGACUGUACAAAAUAAAUCUAAAACAAAUAUCUAGAAUCUAAGUUUUAUCAUGAAAAUUUUCAAAGAACAUUUCUUAUAUGUCUAGUUUAUCAUCUAAGUGACCAAAUUGAUUGACCAUCCCUCAUUUAGUACCAGAUUUCAUAAUGAUGAUAAUAGGUCCAAAACGUGGCAUCUUUUUAAGGUAUUCAACAAUUGAUUUUUCCGAUUAACUUAUAGAUGUCCUAAACUCAUAAAAAUAAAAUAAAAAAUUCACACAACUAUCUAAAUUUUCUAUUUUAUAGGAAAAAUAAUCAUAAGGCAAUAACACAUUCAUAUUUUAAAGUAAAUAAACAUCUCUCUACUUUAGAAGAGCCCUCAUGCAGUGUGUGCAACAAGAAAAAAUUAUAUCUCUUAUUUUAGAAAUCAUUUGUUAAUAGUUUAUGUAUCAAAAAUUAAAUUCAAAAAGUUUAGAUUAAGAGAAAAAUGUUCAAAGAAAUUAAAGAGAUCGUUUAGUAAUUUAAUUUUGUAAAACAAAACUGAGUGUCAAAAACAGAGUGAAAAGUGAACCUUUUGAAAAAUUGAUUUAUAUCUCCUAAUUGGAAAACCAUAUUUGACCCAAGAAAGAUUCUAAAAUCAAGUUCAAGGAGUCUAGAAUGUUAUAGAAUAGUUAGAAAAAUUUUAAAGGGUUUCUAAGUUGUUAGAUUCCAAUUUACAGAUGCAGAAGUACAAUGUACUGUAAUGAAAAAUUCUAAACUAGCUAAAAUGAAUUAAGAUAAAUCAAGACAAAUUUCAAAAUAAAAACUGCAUCACCUAGAAUAGAAGCCAAUUUACCAAAAAUAUAAGAAAUACUCAAACUAAAAGAAUGGGAUCAAACCAAAUCAAAGCAUUAACUGUAACACCAAGGAUUGAUUAAAUUAAUGAUGAAAAAUCAUAAAUGGGCCUAAACUAAUAGAACAAAUUAAACUAAACUAAAACAAGAAUUUAAAAACAGAACUUACGUUCAACCGUGUAAGAGGGGCUGCUAUUAGAACGCUCUUAAUCCUUCCAAUCUGAUGCUUUAUAUGCUACAUUUUCUAAAAGAAAAUCCCGAGACAUCCUCAAAGUUGCAGCUUGUUGUCAUCUUCUUUGCAUGGUAUGGUUGCCCUCCAAAUUUCAUCAAAAUGUGUGGAUGGCUUUCACAAAAUCUGGUGGUGCCAUAUUCUUAAAGUGGCAACCUUUUUUUUUUUUUUUUUUUCCAAAAAAUAAGCUGAUGUGUAGUGGAGGUUCAAAGUGGUAGCCUUAUUCUCAUCCUAGUAGUGCGUGGUGGAUACCUCUCACAAAAUCUGGUGGUGCAAAAAUCUGUGCGUGUAGGGGCUUUUUGAGUGGCAGCUUGUUGUGUAAAAUCCACAGAUGCAGCCUUGAUGGAGAUCUCUUGGUGCGUCAGUUAAAGCUCCAAUCCAUAAUCAGUCCGGUGCGUCUUUAGGAAGAUUUGGACAUUCAAUGCAUGCAGUUCCCUAUUCUCUCUGAGUAACAAGGACUGUUCAAGCUUUAACUCAGCAAAAGUAUAGCCUGAAAAUCAUAUAUCAAUGAUUAUGGUGCAUUCUGUUGCUUCAAUUGAUAGAAGCAUUGCUGCCCGACCAUAUGUCAUGCCACUGUUUUGGUUCCGACAAUUUCCAUCUUCUCAUUCCAUUUUCCAGUAGAAUUUAUGUGGAGAUAUAUAGUCUUUGUGGGGUUGUCGAAAUCCAACCACGUGAAUUGAGAGUAAGAAGCUCAGCUAUUAUAGGUAUGACGGGCAUGCCUAAACAAUAAUUUCAAGUUUCUAAGAGCAGUAGAUCCCUUCACAUCUUCAGAUUUUAGAAACAUAGGCCAAAAAAAUACUCAAGAUUUCUCCACCCCGCAACCAUUCCAUCGCAAUUGUAAAUAUGCAGUAAGUAUAACCAGUCCAGUCUUGUGCCAUUGUAUUGGCUUUCAUUUUGGGAGCAAAUCAUCACCAGUAGGUCUCGAAAUGGAAAAGUUAGUGGCUCUCUCAUCUUCUGUAACUUUGUACAUAUCUGUCCAAUUAACUCUAGGCUUCAUUAUAGAUAUUACAGUGUUGCGAGCCACAAAAAUGAUAUAUAGCUCCCAUGUCAAACAAUGCCGCAUCUCCAUCCUCAGAGGUUUUACCAUUUAGAGCUGUUGUGUGCCCGUAAUGGAGAAUAGCACCACUUUUCCCGCAACUUGUUCACUUCAAGAAUGCUAAAGUUACUCUAGUGACAUCCUCAGCAAUCAUAAACAGAGGAGCUCUCAAUGGUCUUUUCUAACAAAAGAAUUAUGCUCUUUAUCAUUGAAAUCUUUUGCUUUGUGUCCAACACUCUUACAUUCUCAAGUUCAACAAUCAAUUUCUCAAGGUAUGUAACAAACCAUGGGGAGAUAUAUCUUCUGUCAAUCUUUGUUCCUUCUUCAACAUCAACAAUUAUUUCAAGAAAGAAUGAUGACUCAACAAAUAAGAGACCGUUUGGCUCAACCCAAUCAAUUGCAUCAACAAUCUUGAACUCAAUGAACUGUUUAUUUCCCACAGACACAGAAGCAAUAUCUUUGGUAUCAAUAUUGACUUCAACAAGUUGAGCUUACAUCUCCAACUCCUUCACUAACUCACGUAUAGUUUUGUAGUUCCCUUUUUCUAUGAAAACUAGAUUUGGACUAGAUUUAACACUUGGCAGGCCCAAGGGCAUGAACCAGAAGUAGAGGAAAGCAACAAAACCAUGGCACGAAUGGGUAAAACAAAAUGGACUAACAAAAGCCACAUUUCAUGUAUGCCUAAACAACAGAUCAAGAACAAGUAAUACAAACUGAGAGCAGCAAUAUGAUUAUCAAAUGCCAAACCUAAAGAUAAAUCCAACUAUUUACAAGGGGAAAUAAAAGAAUCCAAAAUGUGACCAGAACAUAGCAUGUAUGCAGACAAAUGGAUACAGUCAAAGUAACCAAAUAACUCCUGAUGUCCACACCAAAUCAACAAGAUAACGUUCAUAAAUAUGAAGAAAAUGAAAUAAAACAGUAUUGAAAACAAGGAAGAAAUGAAACUCAUAGAGUGAUCUUACUUGGAAGGCUACACCCCGAGCAAGGUGUGUUCGCCUUCCACUCAUCAGGAAAUGACCACUCUUUAAUAGUGGUGAUGUUGCUGAUCUCUCAACAUGCCACCAUUUUUCUAAAUUUCUAAUUCCCCAAAUCACGUGCCUUCUCAAAAGAACCUGGAGAUCCUCCUCCAAAGCAGUGUUAGCUUGACUUCAAGUGAGACCCACCUCCAAAAAUUGGCAAAGCCAGUCAAGCUUCGUCUCUUCUCCUCCUCUACCUCUAGUUUUUAUCUCCAUUUCAAACUAGAGAAUCCAUUUUUCUUCGUUCAAACAUCUUCUUCCUCUCUGUCCAAGAAAAAAUAUUGUGUCUUUCUUCCUCUCCAAACCUCUCCUCAAUGUUCCAUCCUGUUAUUUUACAGCUCCUCUUAUAUCCCUCCUGUCUCUACUCUGCUCCACUCCAAAACAAACUUUUGAAUAUCCUCUCGUAAUCCGCCAACUUCUCAUUCUGGAUGGCUCUUUUCCACUUUCCCACCAAAACUCUUUAAUUCUCCCAAAAAUUCAACCUAUGUCUUCUUCCUCCACGGUCUCUUUUUCACUUUCCCACCAAAAAUUCUUUUUUUUUUAAACCUAAAUAAAUUAGUAAAUAAAAUAAAAAUAACUAAAAGGGAUUUUGGAAAUAGAAAUGAAAAAAAAAAAUAUAAUAUAGUAUAAUAUAAUAAUAAUAAUAAUAAUAAUAAUAUCAAUAAAAUAAUAAUAAUCUUAAUAAUAAUAAUAAUGAUAAUAGAAACAAUGGUAACAAAAACAAUUCUAAUGAUGAUAAUUAAAAAAAUAAAAUAAAAUGACAAUAAUAAUAAUGAAAAUAUACAAUGAUUAUAUAUAUAUAAGUAGAUAUGAAAAUGAACAAAUAAAUAAAUAAAUAACUAGAUAUAAGUACGCAACAUGUAUUUAUAAAGAAGACAUGCAAGCUACGUAGGCCAUGCAAGCCAUGUUAACCAUGCAAAUGACUUACGGGUGUUGGGGUAAGCUUAAGUGGGAUAAGUGCCUAAUGGGCCUCAAUAUGUCUCAGCAAACUGUCAUAAAAGUGUACCUAAUAUCCAAAAUGGCUCAAAGAAGCAAGUUAUAUGAGUAGCAAUGGGCCACUAAAAACUACUGUGGAGUAAUGAAAGGACACUUAAUCAGGGCAUGGCAAGGGGACAAAAUGGAAACACUCAAAAGAUAAGAUAAAAAGUCACAUACAUUCAAUCAAUAAAAAAUUAAUCAUGUACUAAAAUAUUAAAAAUCAAUCAUGCAAUCACAACUAAAAAAUCAAUUAUAAACUCAAAAUUAAAGUCACAUAUAAUCACAAUUAAUAAUCAAACAGGAACUCAAAAUUAAAAUCAAAUAUUCAAGAUUCAAAUGUGAACUCAAAAUUAAAAUCACUCAUGCACUAAAAAUUAAUCAUGCAAUAAAAUCAAUCACAUGCACUCAAAAUAUCAAAAAUCAUUCAUGUACUUAAAAUAUCAAAAAUCAAUCACACACUAAAAAUCAAAUAACAAACCAAAGCUCAUCUAACCUAAAAACAUGCAAUCAAAAUCAAAAUCAGACGUAAUGCACUAAAAAAAUAGAAACUAAACAACAGAAAGACUCACUAGAAAAUAGACUCCUAAACUAGAACCAGAGCCACUAAAAAAAACCACAAUAAGGAUCCAUAUAAUCCUCGAAGAUAUAUAUAUCCAAAAAAGGUCCAAAAAUAAUGAUAAGGUGAGUAGCAAUAGACCACCAAUGGAGACACAAUAAAAACUAAAAAAUAAAUUCUAAGUGCACAAUGAAGGAUCAUGAUAUGAAGGAAGACAACUACUAGAUAAAAUGUGCCAAGAUGACAAAAUUGAGGGUCUACAAAUUUGUCCAUCUUUGAUAGAAAUCAAGAGUGUAAUGAAUAGAUCACUGAUACACGAGAGAUGAGUGAAAUGAAGUGUCCCAAAUUCCUAAUUAGUAUAGAUUCUUUUUUUUUUUUGUAAAGAAUAUUAUAUAGAAUAUUUCUAGGUUGAUAUAUUAUUGUAAUAUUAGACUUUCUUAUAGAAUAAGGAAGGUUGUUGGAAAUAUCCCUAUAAAUAUUCUAGGUCAUGAGGAGAAAAAGUUAUGAGAUGAAGAUGGGCAUGUAAAGACUAUACAAGGUGGAUAAAGAUGUAAAGAAGAACGGGAGGUACCCGAUGGAGUUAAAAGGCUCGUGGUAGGGUAGGGAUACGAAGAGUGGGGAAACAUAAGAUGUUUCGAGAACCCAAUAAUUGUAUCUGGUUAUGUCCUUUGUAAUGUUCUGGUUUUGUCCUCUAUAAUGUUCUCUAUUGUAGAGUGAAAUAAUUCUCUCUCAUCCGUGGAUGUUGGCAUGGUUGGCCGAACCACGUUAAAACCUCGUGUACCAUGUUAAAACAUCAAAUAAAAAAUAAAGGCUCUGAACACUAAAACUAAGAAGAAUGGAUCUAAACGCCAACACUAGGAAAACAAAUGGCUUUGAAUGCCAAUACUAAAAACAAUGGCUUUGGACGCCAAACUAAAAAUGAUGAGUCUAAAUGCUAAGUAAAAAAAUAAUAGCUCUAAAAGCUAAACCAAAGCUGUAGUUUGUACAUUUCCUAAGAAAAGUUUACUAUAGACCUUCUUUAGAAAGCGCAUAUGCUAGAUUGUUUUGGCAUAGCCACACUUACAUCUAUUAAAGAUUCACUAAUUAUAGAUUAUUUACAAAUUUCAAUCUGAGUAUGACACCUUGGUUGGUACCCUCGAAACCAAAUAUUACUCACGCAGUUAACAAAGUGUGCCAAGACCUCCAUCAACCAAGGCAAAUCUUAAGGAUGUGAAACAAAUCCUAUGUUGUUUAAAAGGUACCCUAGAUUACAACAUUUGCUUAUUGGCUUAAAGUCAAUAUCAUUAUAUGAUUUUGUUGAUUCUAAUUGUCUCCGUUAUCCGAUUACAAUGAGUAGCACCAUUGAUUUUGUGUUUAUCUUGGCAGCAAUUGUAUUUUCUAGUCUUCUAAGAAACAAGAGUCAAUAACAUGCCCUUGAAUAGGGGCAAAGCACCACUCAAGGAUUGCAACUAUUGCAAAAUUAACUUGGCUUAUAUUUCUCUUGUGUGACAUUAGCUUACCACUUCCCCAAUUUCCAUUUCUCUUUUGUGAUAACAUAAGUGCAUUACACAUGGCCAAAAAUCUAGUGUUUCAUGCACAAACAAAGCACAUUGAAUUGGAUUACCAUUUUGCCCGUAAAAAGUUGUUAUAGGACACCUUUAUGCUAAAUAUGUUCCCAGUUAUCUUCAAAUAGCUAACAUUCUUGCCAAGACUCUAGCUAGAAAGGCUUUUAGUAUGUUUAGCUUCAAGUUGGGAGCUCAAUGCAUGACCGCACUAGCUGGAGGGGGUUAAACGUCCUUUACAUUUAUCUCCACAACCAAACAAAUCAAUAGGUCACCUUUUGAGAGAAAUAUGACAAUAUGCAAGUGUAGACCCUCCAUCUUAUUCUAGUAGCAUAUGUUAUUCAAUAUAUUUUCCUUCACUUCUUAUUGCCUUAUAGUUGUCCCAUGGUGGUUUAUUUGUUGCUCAUUUGGUACUAUUUUUUAAGCCACCUUCAAAGAUUCGUUGUUGAUGGAUUUAUUUAUUUAUAUUUUUUUAUGGAUCCCAAUUGUGACCUUAGUUGCAUGCUUAGUCUAACUCCCUUUGUUUACUUAGUUGCAUUUUAGGUUUAGUUCACUUAGUCACAUGCUUAGUCUAGCUCACUUAGUUCACUUAGUUGCAUUUUAGGUUUAGUUCACUUAGUCGCAUGCUUAGUCUAGCUCAGUUAGUUUACUUAGUUGCAUUCUAGGUUCAGCUUACUUAGAUGCAUUCUAGGUUUAGCUCACUUAGAUGCACUUUGGUUUAGUUCCCUUAGAUGCACUUUAGUCUAGCUCCCUCAGGUUCACACAUGAGGGGAUUUUUAGGAAGGAAGAGAUAUAUAUAUAUUUUUUAGGAAAACACGAUUGCAUAUUGCAUGAGGAGAAGAGAUUCAUGCAUAGGAAAAAUUUUAUUUGGAAUAUAUGGGCUACCAUUGAGAGGUAAACUACUAUUAGAGACUAAUUUUGAAAAAAGGAGUUAGAGCCGACACUAAUUGAUCUUGAAGAAAAAAUGAAGCAUCUUGAGAAGAAAAGUUGAAGUUUUGAAGAUCAAGAAGGCAAGACUCAAUGCAGGGAAACAAGAAAGAAGUAAGCUUGCAAUCUUUUGGAGGAAAUGUAUGAUUUUUUUUUCUUGCAUAUCUCAAUUAUAUAUAUCUUUUUUUUUUCCCAUCAUGUUUAAGUGUAGAAAUUCUAUUUGUUUGGGGUAGAUAAUGAAGGCCACUUUGAUUGUUGUUAAUCAAAUUGUUGAUGACAUAUUAAUGAGAAUUUGAUGAAUGGUUAAUUGAUCUCAUGUUGAUUAAUGCUUAUUAGAAUUGAGAUUAGAGUUAUUUUCUUUGGAAUUAUUUUCAUUUGAUUGAGGCCUUUUGAUAACAUAUGAUAGGUGCCUAAGAGAUCCUUUAUUUGAUUUUUUAUGCCUUUGGUUUUAUUUUUGGUUAUUCAUUUUUUAUUGUGAUGUUUGGAGUGUUCACCUUGUUGUCAUUUUGUUAGAAUUAUUGAACCUCUAUAAUUAAAAAAUGGAAUCAGGUUAAAAAUAGAAGAAAAAAAACUCUUUUUCCUACACCUGUUGCACUAACCCCUUUUUGUAGUCAAGGGAAGUUUGGCUUAAUUUAAAAAUUCACAUUGUAUGAUUAAGUCAUGUUGUUAUUUUUUCUGUAAGUUAGAUAUAUUGAAGGUAUUGUACAAUUUUAUUUUUUUAUCAUAAUUUUAUCAUGCUUAUAGAUAGAUUAAUUACAUUAGUAUUUUCAUGCUAUAGGAUUUUGCUCUAUUUCUAAUCAAUAUAUUUGUGAUUAAAUCAAGUAUUAAAUGAGAUAUGAUUUGAUGAUUUAGCCUUUUGGGUUAUAAUUUAGACACAUAGGGGAUGUUGUCCAAGUAUUUUUUAUUCGUUCCCACUUGGUGUAUCAACUGAUUCAUGUCCAGCUGGUGCUCCUUGAUUGAGGGAGUGAUCAACAAAAUUUAUAACCUAUUACACCAUGAACUAGGGUAGCAAAGACAAAGCUACUAUAGCAUAGUGGCUCUAGGAUCGUUCACUGGAAAGGGUUUUCAACUCUCAACUGAUACCAAUUCAAAGCUGAGUUGGUGAUUUUUCAUUUCAAGGUUAGCUUAAAAGAAAACAUAAAGAUGUUUGGGUGAAAAGGGUUUGGUCUUAAACUAACCAAAAAGAAAGUAAUGGAAAUUACUUAUGAAGAAAAACAUUCCUUGGAGGUUUAGGUUCAUAGGGGAGGUUCCUUAUGUAAAAACAGAGCUCCGGUCAUUUGGUUCAUUUCCUCGCAUUAGAGAAUUAACAUAUAGUUAAUUCUCUAACCGGUGCUAUACAGAUGUAUCCUUUAAAUGGAUUUCAAACUCUAAUUCCCUCUCACUGAUGCAUCUUGCAAUGGCUCAUACCUCUCACCUAGCACUUGCCAUUCAAGGUGAUCUUUAACUUUGGAUUACCCGUCAAAAGCUCGCAAGAGAUAACUAAUGGAUGUCUCCUUAGAGUCCAAAAGCUUACCAAUUGUUGGCAAUUCUAGAAAAUCCUACCUACAAGUCACUUCCCAAAAGCUUGCAAGAGGUAAACUAGUGCAUCUCCAUGGAUAGAAAUCACUUGCCUUACCAAGUGUUGGCUCAAGUGAAUUGAAGGCGUUUUAAGUUAACUAAAAACAUAGAAAUCAUUAAAGGAUCACACUUUCUCUUCAUUAAUGGCUAAAACCACAAAGCUAUUAAUUCUUGCACUUGGACCCUUUCCUAGCAACCUUAACUCCAAGGAACUAAAAGUCUAGCCACUCAUUCUCUGAGGAAACUUCCUCAAAGCUUGUUUGGCUAGAAAGAAAACUAAUGAGAAAACAAAUAUUAAGCAAAAACAGAGCAAGUGCUCUAUACAAUAUAUUUCUUCCUUCCGUCUAUUACAUAGAUUCUUCUUUUUCAAGAAAAUUACAAACUAUAUAUAUGAGGUUAUUCACCCUUUUUACUUACUUAAAGAUUAACGAAUCCUAUGAUAGGUGGGUUACAAGGAGACUUUGGGAAAUUAGACAUAAAAUAUCUAAAGCAAAAUAUCUCAAAAUAUCCCAAAAUAUCGUUGGCAAAUAUCAGGAAGCUUCAGGAGCACACAGCAGCACUGUGCAGCAUGGCUGCUCUCCCAUUCAGGUAGGCGGCUAUCAGAUGAUCCGGAUACGUCCGUCCGGAGAAGUUGAAAUGCCUCCUCUCCCAUCCGGCGUCGGAAUUCCGGAUGUGAACAUCCGGGGGUGGAAAGUACGUGGCAGCCGGGUGCAAAAAUGGCGGCGCGCAUCCGGGUGUACAUGGCGGCAGCUGGGUGCAAAUCCUACCCGAGUGGAAUGUUGUCCGAAUGAAAGGAUAGCAUCUUAUCCGGAUGCCUUCCGAUGGUAUAUCCGGACGCACUGUCCGGGUAUACUCCUUGUAUGGAUUCCAAAGAACUCUCCUCAAUCUCAGAUUUGCUUUGGUGAUCAAAAAGCUAUCAAAACACCAAAACUUAACACAAUUUGAUUAGAAUUGAUUGCAAGGGUCCUUAAUAUGUUAAUUGGGUUAAAAGGUAAUAACUACUACUCAAAAGUGUCGAAAAGAGUUAAUUACAAGCUAUGAAAUAGCACUUUUUGAGUAGUAAUCACUCCCCCCAACCGACAUAUUGCUAGUCCCUUAGCAAUGAAGGAGAGACAAAUAAAAAAAUAAACAAUACUAUAAUUUACAACAUCAUGCUAAUCAAAAAACAAUUUUCAAGUGGCAUGAUGAUCUAACUCUCACAUGGAACAUUAAAGAAAUAAAACUCAAACUUCAUCAAGAGUUAUCAAAUAACUUAUCUAAUCAUAAUUCUUAAAGAGAAGGCAUUAUGCAAAUUUAAGCUUUAAAAGAGUUUCCACUCCCAAAGGGUCAAACCUUACUCUUCCACAAAAAUCUAAGUGUUAUUUAUUAGUUUCCGAAUAUAGUAUGUUGAAUUAAUCUCUCCCCCCAACCUAGUUCUUUUUCAAAGCUUAGCAAACUGGUCAACCUCCAAUAGGCUAAGAACACACCUCUUUUCACAAUUUUUUUCAUUGUAGGAGUACACGGCUUAAAGGUAUUCUUUUCUAAAUUGUCCAUGUAACGGGGGUCCAUCGAUGACUCCCAACCAAUUAAGGUUUAGGGCAUCAAGCUUAAAGGAUUUUUCAACCACUAACUCCUUGGAUUUUACCCCGGACUUUUGAGAAUGAAUUUAAAUACCCCAGCACCUACAGUAUGUUAAACUCCACCUAUUCACCCUUGUAACGAGCAUUGAGGUCGAUGACUCCCAACCAAUGAAGGCUUAGGGCACCAGGUUUUAAAGAUUUUCAUCAUAUACCCCUCAGACCUUGCUCGGGUUUCAAGGCAAGCAAACAUUUUUUCUUUCUUUUUUGAAAGACUCAUUGGCCUUUUACAAGGUGUCCCAACACUAUUAAAUGAGGUCAAAGGUACCAAGUCUAAAAUUUUCCUAAGUCAAGAGGGAAAUAGUUUUUCAUCUUAUAAUCGGAACCUAUUGUGCACAGUGUGUGAAUAGCUUAAAGUGGAAGACAUAAGCUUGAAUUCAAUAGAAAUUUCAACAAUUCAUCAACUUUAAUAAGCAUAAUACAAACUCUAAGUCAAGUGAAAAGACAAAAAUUCAAUUUCUCCCAUUUUAUUUUGAAAAUUUUUCCUUAAUAACCAUGGAGAGUAGAAUAAAAACUUAAAAAAUUUUAAAAUUAAGCAAAAAGCAACUAAAUUACCAAAAUAACUUAGCAUUAAUAACAAAACUUCCUUCCUCAACUCUCCCCCCAACCAAGCUGAACAUUGUCCUCAAUGUGACAAAAGCGAUUGAAAAAUAGGGAGGAAGUGGUACCUCCUGAGUGACGCGGAGUGAUGUCGUGGAAAUAAUGACUCAGAUGUCUCUCCUAUAGGAGGCUCCGGAUGAGGAGGCAAUGGCAUGCUCAGGAGCUAAUGUACUGCCAAUUGAUGCUGAAUCUGCCUCAGGAUGGCAGUGUGCUGGGCCUGAGUGGCAAGAAUAUGUUCUUGAUUUUAAUCAUUCAAAAAGAUUAAGCUAGUUACAAUUUACAAAAUUUCAAGACUAAAAUUACAAUCAAAUAAUUUACAAAACUUAAAAAUUAACAUAUUUAACAAAAUUAUGGACUUUGGUGAAACCAAGUCCAUCUAACCCUUCUCUGUUCAGGAUUUCUGUGGCUCAAGGAGGUUGAUUUCCUCCUUUUCUGGAUUGAACGGUUCAAUGAAUGGCUUGAGGCGAUGACCAUUGACUCUGAAGGUGUCUAUGCCAUUGGAAUUUAAUAAUUCCACCACUCCAUUGAAAUGUACUUGGUGAAUAAUGAAAGGACCUAUCCACCUUGACUUGAGCUUUCCGGGAAAGAUAUGGAGCCUUGAGUCAUAGAGUAAGACUAGUUGUCCUUUCCUCAAUUCUUUGUUGGAGAUUAGUUGAUCAUGCCAUUUCUUCAUCCUCUGUUUUGCAACUUUGGAAUUGAUGUAAGCAUCAUUUCUUAACUCCUCCAUCUCAUUAAGGUCUAAGCACCUCUUUUCCCCAGCUCUGAUCAAGUCCAUGUUCAACCUCUUGAUUGCCCACCAGGCUUUAUAUUCAACUUCCACAGGGAGAUGGCAUGCUUUGCCAUAGACUAGACGAUAGGGAGACAUGCCAAGAAUAGUCUUAUAAGCUGUUCUGUAUGCCCAUAAUGAAUCAUGAAGCUUAAUAGAUCAAUCUUUUCUGCUUGUAAUCACCACUUUCAUCAGUAUGUUUUUGAUUUCCCUGUUUGCUAACUCCACUUGCCCGGAAGUUUGAGGAUGAUAAGGUGUAGCUACCUUAUGCUUCACUCCAUACUUGGUUAAUAAGGCUUCAAAAGGUUUGUUGCAAAAAUGAGUACCUCCAUCACUGAUUAUGGCCUUGGGCACCCCAAAUCUUGAGAAGAUGUUCUCCUUAAGAAAUUUGAGAACCACCCUGUGAUCAUUCUGUUUACAGGGGAUUGCCUCCACCCAUUUGGAAACAUAGUCCACCCCCACCAAUAUAUAGGAGUUACCAAAAGACAUUGGGAAAUGUCCCAUGAAGUCAAUACCCCAAACAUCAAAAAGAUCAACUAUAAGGAUGGGGUUCAUAGGCAUUUAAUUUCUUUUUGUUAGCUUCCCAAGCCUUUGGCAUCUAUCACAGCUCCUACACAUGAUGUGGGCAUCUUUGAAAAGCGAUGGCCAAGUAAACCCUGAUUGCAACACCUUCAUGGCUAUUUUCUGAGAGGCAAAGUGGCCUCCACAUGCAUUUUCAUGGCAAUGACUGAGGAUCCCUUGUUGCUCUUCUUCAGGGACACACUUUCUUAUGAUCUGAUCUGCACAAUACUUGAAAAGGAAAGGCUCCUCCCAAUAAUAAGCAUGAAUUUUUGCAAAGAAGUGCUUCCUGUCUUGUGCAUUCCACUCACUUGGAACUUCACCAAUAACCAAAUAGUUAGCAAUAUAAGCAUACCAAGGAGCUUUCUCUAGCAACAUAAGUGAUUCCUCAGGAAAGUCAUCAUUAAUAGGUAAUACAUGGGAAUUAUGUGCUAUAGCCAACCUUGAAAGGUGGUCAGCUACCACAAUCUCCACCCCUUUCUUGUCUCUGAUUUGGAGAUCGAACUCUUGUAACAAAAGAAUCCAUCUAAUCAACCUUGCUUUUGCAUCUUGCUUUGUCAAUAAAUACUUCAAGGCUGAAUGGUCAGUGAAAACAGUGAUGAAAGACCCUACCAAAUAAGCAUGAAACUUGUCUAAGGCAAACACCACAACUAACAAUUCUUUCUCUGUAGUUGUGUAGUUUCUUUGAGCUUCGUUCAAUGUCUUGCUUGCAUAAUAGAUCACGUAGGGCUUCCCAUCUUCUCUUUGGCCAAGUACAGCUCCUAUAGCAAAGUCACUGGCAUCACACAUUACUUCAAAGGGUAAUUGUCAGUUAGGAGCCCUUACUAUUGGAGCGGUAGUAAAAAAUUGCUUCAAUUGAUCAAAACUCUUUUGACAUCUUUCAUCCCAUAUAAACUUAGCAUCCUUAGCCAAAAACUCACAAAGAGGCCUUGACAGCUUAGAGAAAUCUUGUAUAAACCUCCUGUAGAACCUUGCAUGGCCAAGGAAUUGCCUUACUCCUUUGACAGUGGUUGGGGAUGGCAAUUUGGCAAUACGUUCCACCUUUGCUUUAUCAACUUCAAUGCCUUUCUCGGAGAUGAUAUGGCCAAGGACAAUUCCUUGACGUACCAUAAAAUGACAUUUCUCCUAGUUGAGCACCAAGUCCUUCUCAAUGCAUCUGUUAAGAACUGCUUCCAAAUUGACUAAGCAUUCCUCAAAUGUACCUCCAUAUACGGUGAUGUCAUCCAUGAAAACCUCCAUAAUUCGCUCCACCAUAUCACUGAAGAUACUAAGCAUACAUCUUUGGAAUGUUACAGGUGCAUUGCAUAAACCAAACGACAUUCUUCUGUAAGCAUAUGUUCCAAAUGGACAUGUAAAAGUGGUCUUCUCCUGAUCUUCAACAUCAAUUUCAAUUUGAAAAUAUCCGGAGUACCCGUCCAAGAAACAAUAAAAAGGAUGGCCAGAGACUCUCUCCAGCACCUGGUCAAUAAAUGGGAGUGGAAAAUGAUUUUUCCUUGUCACAGCAUUCAAUUUCCUAUAGUCAAUACACACCCUCCAACCUGAAGUGAGGCGUGUAGCAAUUUCUUCUCCUUUUUCGUUCUGAACCACAGUAAUACCUGACUUCUUUAGUACCACUUGAGUAGGACUCACCCAAGGGCUGUCAGAUAUGGGAUAAAUAAUACCUGCUUGGAGUAGCUUCAGCACUUCAGCUCGCACCACUUCUUGUAAAUGAGGAUUCAAUCUUCUUUGAGGUUGACGAAUUGGUUUAGCUUCUUCCUCCAUAUAUAUGUAAUGUGUACAAACCAAAGGACUGAUUCCUUUCAAGUCAGAUAUUUGCCAUCCUAUUGCUUUCUUGCACCUCUUGAGAACUUCAAGUAAACACUUCUCGCGAUGACUAGUAAGAGAUGAAGAUAUAACAACAGGACAUUGAUUAUUUUCUUCAAGGUAUGUAUAUUUCAGUUCCACGGGCAGAGGCUUCAAAUUGAGCUUUGGGGUCUCUUCUUCAGCAGCUUCUCCUUCCUCUUUAUUGAAUAAAGGUAGGAUCUCUUCUUUCCUCCUCCAACUUUGUAGAGUAGCAAGCAUAUCAGCGGGUUCAGACAACCCUUCUUCAAGAUCCUUAAGACUUUCAUUCAACUCGUCUUGCAUAUUCUGAUCACAAUGCUCCUCCACUAGAGUGUCAAUAAUGCAUACCUCUUCUGGACCUUCUUCUUCUUCCGGAGUAAUCAGCUUCUUUGACAUAUGAAAGAUAUUAAGCUCAAGUGUCAUGUUACCAAAAGUAAGUUGCAUAAGUCAAUUCCUACAAUUUAUGAUUGCAUUUGAAGUAGCAAGGAAUGGCCUUCCAAGGAUGAUAGGAACAUAAUUAGCUUCCUUAACUAAAGGAUCAGUAUCAAGAACAAUAAAAUCUACUGGAUAGUAGAAAUUAUCAACUUGAACUAAUACAUCUUCAAUUAUCCCCCUUAGAAUUUUCACUGACCUAUCAGCUAAAGAUAGGGUGAUUGAUGUUGGCUUCAACUCACCAAGUCCCAAUUGCUUAUAAAUAGAGUAUGGUAGCAAAUUCACACUUGCUCCCAAAUCUAGCAAAGCUUUUUCCACUACCUUUCCUCCAAUCAUGACUGAAAUGGUAGGACAUCCCAGAUCUUUGUACAUCAAAGGAGAUUUUCAUUGUAUGAUGGCACUUACUUGUUCAGUUAAGAAGGCUUUCUUAUUCACAUUCAACCCUCUUUUGAUAGUACAAAGGUUCUUUAGGAAUUUUGCAUAUGAUGGAACUUGCUUAAUCAUGUCCAGCAAUGGAAUGUUGACUUUCACUUGGCUCAAUACUUCAAGGAUUUCUGAUGCAUUUUUUAUCCCCUUUUCCCAUGCAAAGCUUGAGGAAAAUGAGGAGAUGUACGUUUCAUCAUCAAUUCUUCCUUGAUAAGCUAUUUCUCCAGAUUUGCAUUCACUGUUGAAUCACGGUCCUUUUUCCCUUCACUGAUAUCUUUCUUCUUUCCUUUCAUUUCCCCCCUCUUAUUUGUCUCUUCUUCUUCCUUCUCUUCAACAUAUGGCUUGGGUGUUGGUGACUCAACCUUUUUACCACUCCUUAGAGUGAUCAAGGCUUUAACCUCUCUCACCUGUGAAGAUUCUCCCUCAUGAGUUUCCACUUCGUGGAUACCCUUGGGGUUUUGGUGAGGUUGAGAAGGAAAUCUACCCUUCUCCUGCACUGUGUUCAUAUUAGUGAGCCUUGAGAUUGAGUAUUGGAGAUUAUCUAUCUUCUGAGAUAAGUCAUUUUGCAGCCCAUCAAUCCUUUUGUUCAAAGUAUUCUCUACACUGUCAAUUCUUUGACUGAGCUGAGCAUUGAUGGAUUUUUGUUCUCCAACAAAAUCUCCCACAAUCUUGCUGAGAUUUACUAUUGCUUGUUCAAGACUUGAAGCUUGUUGAGAUGGUUGAGCUGGCUGUUGGUACUGAGGUGCUCUCGGCUUCCAUGAAAAAUUUGGAUGAUUCCUCCAACUUGAGUUGUAAGUAUCGCCAUAUGAAGCAUUGCUAUUGGGCUUGAAUUUUCCAAUGACAUUUGCUUGUUCUCCAAACAUUUCUCUAGCAACUGGAAUUGUAGGGCACUCCUCUACCAAGUGUUCAUAAGAUUGACAAAUAGAACAUGGCUUUACUUGCAUUGGUGUUUCAGCAACAGCUUGCACUUCAUUCAUCUUUUUCAGUUCUAGCGCUUCCACUCUUCUUGUCAUAGUUGCAAAUUUUGCUUUCAUUUCAACAUCUUCAUUCAAGGUGUACAUCCCAGCCUUAGCAUGAAGAGCAUUUGGUUGAGACUUCAUCUUUCCCACUUCUCCUCUGUGCGGUUCAUCCCAUCCUCUUGAGACUUCAGCUACAUAACUCAAGAAAUCCAUAGCUUCCUCAUGAUUCUUACUCAUGAAAUCCCCUCCACACAUUGUUUCGAGGAGUUGCUUCAUUGAGGAAGACAUCCCAUCAUAGAAAUAACUCACCAACAGCCAUGUGUCAAAGCCAUGGUGAGGACAAGCAUUAAUGGCUUCCAUGUAUCUUUCCCAACACUCAUAGAAUUUCUCAUUCUCUUUAGCUGAGAAGUUUGAAAUUUUCCUUUUCAAGCUAUUUGUUCUGUGAGUGGGAAAAAAUUUCUUGAGGAAUUCAGCUUGUAAAUCAGUCCAAGAACGGAUACUCCUUGGCCUUAAAGAAUUAAGCCAAAUCUUGGCCUUAUCCUUUAAAGUAAAAGGAAAUAAUUUAAGCCUCAUCAGGUCGAUAGAAGCUCCUCCCUCUCGGAAUGUAUUACAAACAUAUUCAAAUUCCUUGAUAUGGGCAUAGGGAUUCUCACUUUCCAUUCCAUGGAAAGUUGGCAGAAGUGGCACAAUAUGGGGUCUGAUCACUAGCUGCUCUAUAGAGGGCACUAUACAUGAUGGUGCACUCAUACGAGGUGGAUGCAUACGGUCCCUCAUUGAUCUGAAUUCAUUGGGAUUGUCCUGAUGAUCAUGGUGACUAUGCUGAUCCUCAGGUGUAGUUUCCAUGAUGUUCAAGAUUACUUCCAACUCCUUGUUAUGAGGUGUAUUAAGUUUAACAAGCCUUCCUCCAUUGUCUCGUAUCCACUUUGGCAUACACAACUAGUAUCAACUGUAACUAAAAUGAAAUUAAAAGAAAACAAAAGAAAACAGGGCUACCAAAAUUUUUUUUCUAAAAUAGACUAAACUGAAUUUAAAAGAUAUAUUAGAUUAUGAACAAGUAAAGAUACAAAAAAAUAGAAUUAGUAAAAUGAAAGAAAAGUUACCAAACUUGUGAUGAAAAUCACAAGUACUCUGAAAUAAUAUCACUAUGAAGUUGGCACCUUCCCCGGCAACGGCGCCAUUUGAUUCGUUCCCACUUGGUGUAUCAGCUGAUUCAUGUCCAACUGGUGCUCCUUGAUUGAGAGAGUAAUCAACAAAAUUUAUAACCUAUUACACCAUGAACUAGGGUAGCAAAGACAAAGCUACUAUAGCAUAGUGGCUCUAGGAUCGUUCACUGGGAAGGGUUUUCAACUCUCAACUGAUACCAAUUCAAAGCUGAGUUGGUGAUUUUUCAUUUCAAUGUUAGCUUAAAAGAAAACAUAAAGAUGUUUGGGUGAAAAGGGUUUGGUCUUAAACUAACCAAAAAGAAAGUAAUGGAAAUUACUUAUGAAGAAAAACAUUCCUUGGAGGUUUAGGUUCAUAGGGGAGGUUCCUUAUGUAAAAACAGAGCUCCGGUCAUUUGGUUCAUUUCCUCGCAUUAGAGAAUUAACAUAUAGUUAAUUCUCUAACCGGUGCUAUACAGAUGUAUCCUUUAAAUGGAUUUCAAACUCUAAUUCCCUCUCACUGAUGCAUCUUGCAAUGACUCAUACCUCUCACCUAGCACUUGCCAUUCAAGGUGAUCUUUAACUUUGGAUUACCCGUCAAAAGCUCACAAGAGAUAACUAAUGGAUGUCUCCUUAGAGUCCAAAAGCUUACCAAGUGUUGGCAAUUCUAGAAAAUCCUACCUACAAGUCACUUCCCAAAAGCUUGCAAGAGGUAAACUAGUGCAUCUCCAUGGAUAGAAAUCACUUGCCUUACCAAGUGUUGGCUCAAGUGAAUUGAAGGCGUUUUAAGUUAACUAAAAACAUAGAAAUCAUUAAAGGAUCACACUUUCUCUUCAUUAAUGGCUGAAACCACAAAUCUAUUAAUUCUUGCACUUGGACCCUUUCCUAGCAACCUUAACUCCAAGGAACUAAAAGUCUAGCCACUCAUUCUCUGAGGAAACUUCCUCAGAGCUUGUUUGGCUAGAAAGAAAACUAAUGAGAAAACAAAUAUUAAGCAAAAACAGAGCAAGUGCUCUGUACAAUAUAUUUCUUCCUUCCGUUUAUUACAUAGAUUCUUCUUUUUCAAGAAAAUUACAAACUAUAUAUAUGAGGUUAUUCACCCUUUUUACUUACUUAAAUAUUAAGGAAUACUAUGAUAGGUGGGUUACAAGGAGACUUUGGGAAAUUAGACAUAAAAUAUCUAAAGCAAAAUAUCCCAAAAUAUCAUUGGCAAAUAUCAGGAAGCUUCAAGAGCACACAGCAGCACUGUGCAGAAUGGCUGCUCUCCCAUUCAGGUAGGUGGCUAUCAGAUGAUCCGGAUACGUCCGUCCGGAGAAGUUGAAACGCCUCCUCUCCCAUCCGGCGUCAGAAUUCUGGAUGUGAACAUCCGGGGGUGGAAAGUACGCGACAGCCGGGUGCAAAAAUGGCGGCGCGCAUCCGGGUGUACAUGGCGGCAGCUGGGUGCAAAUCCUACCCGAGUGGAAUGUUGUUCGGAUGAAACGAUAGCAUCUUAUCCGGAUAUGUUGUCUGGAUGCCUUCCGAUGGUAUAUCCGGACGCACUGUCCGGGUAUACUCCUUGUAUGGAUUCCAAAGAACUCUCCUCAAUCUCAGAUUUGCUUUGGUGAUCAAAAAGCUAUCAAAACACCAAAACUUAACACAAUUUGAUUAGAAUUGAUUGCAAGGGUCCUUAAUAUGUUAAUUGGGUUAAAAGGUAAUAACUACUACUCAAAAGUGUCAAAAAGAGUUAAUUACAAGCUAUGAAAUAGCACUUUUUGAGUAGUAAUCAAUUUUCAUGGUGAAAUUUCAUCUCUAGAUAUAUGUUUAGGAUAUAUUUUGCAAGUGUCUUUGUUCUAGAUGCAUGCCAAUUGUUCUGUAAAGUGUCCUUAAAGUGAAUUAAUUUGGUAUUGAUUGACACGUAAUUAAAUGUUUUGGGAUUUUGUAUUGCAAUAUAGACACAUUGAAGAUGUUGUCAAUAAAGUAGUGAUUUUGGCACUGCAGGGCUCUUCAAUUUCUUUCUUCAUUUUUCAAUUUGCACGAAUGUGGAAACUUUUACACAUGAAUCAUUUGCUACAAUAAUGAUCAUGCAUGUAAAUUUGGUCUACUUUUCCCAUUCUCUAUAAUUGAUUAGCUUUGGAGCUGUUUGACAAUAAUAUAUAGGAAACCUCUGAUGCAGGCUUCUGACAUUAAAAUGAGCUAAAGAUGGGUUUGGAAACCACUUUCAAAUGAAAAUUGACAUGCAUAAUUUUUGGUGUAUUUGACACAUGCAAUAAAAAUUACUUAAAUAGGAGUGACUUUGUCACAUGGCUUCGGAUGGAAUUACAGCACAGUAUUGGAAUUAGUAUUCAAAUGGCUGCCCUAUGGAGAGUUUUUUAGGUCUCAAUCUUAACAGUAUAGGUUGACCACUCGGAAAUUGGGACCACAACCUAGCCUAGGCUUGAUCCAAGCACUACUUAGAGACACAUUUCACUUAACUUCUUUGAUCUGUUACUUGUAUUUAUUGUGACACUUAGGUGGUGUUUGUUUUUUGGCUGAACAAAAAAAGUAAAAAUAUUUGGUUUUUUCUAUUCAGUUAAAAAUAACAUGUUGACAUCAUCCAACAUAACUAAACUGAACCUAUUGAUAACAAGUUCAUUUUAGCUAUGUUGGAUGAUGUCAACAAGUUACUUUUAGCUUAAUAGAAAAAGCCAAAUAUUUUGGCUUUUUCUAUUCAGCCAAAAAACAAACACCACCUAAGUUGCUUCUUGUUUAUCUGAUCUAGGAAGCUUGUUUUGUCAAAGAAGCAAGACCUUCCGAUGUUUAUGGAUGAACUCCUCUUGUCAGCAUUGGUUCUAACUUUGGUCCAUUUUUCCCAUUCUCUAUAAUUGAUUAGCUUAGGAGCUGUAUGGAGAGGAAAAUGACAUGGGUCGGUGUUUGACAAUAACAGGAAACCUCUGAUGCAACAUUGGUUCAUUAAUAUUCACCAAAAAGUGAACAAGCUUGGAGCCUUCGGUAGAUAUUUUACAAAGCCUUCUGUACUGUUAUCUUAUGCUAAGUACUGAAUAUAAAUGUUGUUGAGGGUACCACCAGUGACAUGCAGAUGCAAUGUUUAUUUUGAGAACGCCAACGGCAUAGUGCAUCAACGGAUAUUUGAGUUUUCCGAGAAGGAGGCCUUUACAUCAUCGACCAGAUCUGGAUUAUUUGAAUUUAGUACGGUCCUGCUAUUGUUUUAUUCUCUUGCACAAACCAUUCUUCAAAAUAUGUUAUCAUGACAUAGAUAAACUUUUCAUUUGCUUAACAUUGUUUAAAGGGCUUGACAUUGCUCAACAUUAUCUGAGCUUUUCUCCUACAGAUACUUCUUUGGCAUGGCAAUGCAACCAGACUUAAGGCGAUGGCACUCACUUACAUACUCUGCAAGAGCCCACAAUGGAAAAAUAUUCCUGUAAUCUGCAUAGUGUAACAAGCAGUUCUUCAUGAAGGCUCCAGUGAUUUCCUGCCAUAGAUAAUUGAUGAUUAAAUGGUUAGACUCCCACCCAGUAUAUAUAGUCAGCUACAAAAGAACAUUUUCCAUUUCCCAAAACCAUGUUAAAAUGUUGCUCCUUUAGUUUUUUAUUCAUGUUCAAGUGAGCUACCUGUUGGGGAAAAUCACCAUCUUCCAUUUGGGAAUUAAUAAACAGCUUUGCAGCCCUGUGAAGAGGUGUUGGGUCUCUCUCCGCCUGUUAGAAAGGAAAGGCUAGACUCAGAUGUUUGGGGAGAAGCCAUAUUGUGAAAGUAAUGUAGAAGACCAAGUUAAGCUUAUUGAUGACGGAACUGUAAAAACUAACCUGCCCUGAAGAAAGCAGCCCCAUCAGAGCCCACCCGGUUUGCACCAAAUUUGACUUGUUUCCUUCAAGAGGCAUAUAUUUCUAUAUCACCAAGCACAAGGAUUACUUGUUUUUGUCCAUGUUUCUACCAGAAAAUAGAGCAGUGGGUGGCAUGUAAAAAUUACCUUGUCCGAGCAAGAAGUACAGUUCUCUCCCCAACCACCAUCAUCUCUUUGUGAUUUGAGUAGAAACUCAACAGCUCUACCAAUAGCAAGACAGUUGUGGUAAGUCUUGCCAGCAGCUGCUAGGCCCCCAAGCGCAAACCAUGAGCCAUAGGUGAAACAUACUCCCCAAUUGCCAUACCUGGUGAAAUGUUUCUUUGUUUAAAUGGAUCUGCACUGCAUAUAUAUAAAAAUAUUUCCCUAGUGAAAUAAUAAUAGUGGAGUUGAGAAAC
rnacentral:lncRNA from 1 species